rnacentral:misc_RNA from 1 species
UUUCCGUAGGUGAACCUGCGGAAGGAUCAUUACCGAGUGAGGGCCCUCUGGGUCCAACCUCCCACCCGUGUUUAUUUACCUUGUUGCUUCGGCGAGCCCGCCUUUUGGCUGCCGGGGGACGUCAGUCCCCGGGUCCGUGCUCGCCGGAGACACCUUAGAACUCUGUCUGAAGAUUGUAGUCUGAGAUUAAAUAUAAAUUAUUUAAAACUUUCAACAACGGAUCUCUUGGUUCCG